rnacentral:lncRNA from 1 species
ACCGAUUUUUUAGUGGCUCCGGUACCGGUCUAGGAUCGGACCGGUACGUACCGGCCCGUACCGGCCGGUACGGCAUUCCAUGAACCUAAUCAAAUUAGGUCUAAUUAAAGCCAAAUGGGUUCCAACUCUUGGCUAACCCAUAUUAGGUCAUGAUCUAAUCAUAUUAGAUCAACCUAAUCUAAGAAUCAGAUUCGAAUUUAAUUUGAAUCAGGAGCUAGGAUUUGCAACACGUGCUAGCAUGUUCAUCUUGCAAACAUGAUCUAAUUCAAUUAGACCCUUGAUCAAUUUUCUUGUGUGUGACGCAUUGGGUUCCUUAUCUUAGCCAGCAGUAGGUGCAGGUGCAAGUUGACCUAACUUGAUUAGAAUACCUCAAUCCAAUUUAGGUCCAAUUCAUUGCUAAACCUGACUUAACAAUCAGAACCUUUCUGAUGCUUUGAUCUCAUCAAACUCUUUGAUCCGAUCAACCCAAAAGACAAGAUUGACGUCUAGCAACGUAUCAUGUCUACCCGGAAGAUGAGGAAUGUAUUGGACAAAUCCAAACAUACUCUUCAAUGGCAAGUUACCGUGCAAUUCAAUCCCUUAGUCAUACUACAUCCUGAAUAAGUAUAUGAGUAUGGAUCAAUAUCAAACUCAAUCACUUAUUCAUGUCUCUUUUAAUCUUUUAUAUGAUAAUUCAAACAAUGA